UCUAAUAUGGCAGAAUAGUGCAAUGAGUUUAAGCCUCAUAAAUAAAGAUUUUUAAUCUUUUAUUAGAA
rnacentral:tRNA from 1 species